UGAUGGUCGGGUUGAUAACACUUCCCUGUGGAUAUGUUGUAUCAGAUUACCUCCGACAUCGGGAGAAAACCGGCGGACAACAGGCAAAUAACAAGCCAACAUGACCCUGGCUAUGUCACCGCUGUCGUUCCGUGAGGUUGGUGACGUGCCGUGGCAGGGUGGACCCGUAGGCAGGACCACGCAGAGAGCGACCUUUCCAGUCAUGUGUCACCUGCUUCUUGCGCUCAGGGAACCACGACGACCCUCUAAGCUCGGGUGUGUCUGAAUGUCACUGUUGUGCUGCUCCACUGGAGCAUCAAAGCGCUGGAGCUAAGCAUCAGCCAAACAGACCCUGGUGGUGUGAAAUCACUUUUAUUCAUUAAGGACUAGUGCAGUGGUGUCAGAUUGUAUUUCCAGUGAGGCUUUCUUUGUAUUGUUGUUGUUGUUGUUAUUGCCUCUGUGUUCCUCCUAUGUGGAGGCUUCUCAGAAGAUGCUGCUGCCCCUUGCAGGGUCUGUGUCCACCAUCCUUCAGAGCGUAAUUUAACCUGUGUCAGAGGGGCAUCCCCAGUGGGACCAUUGGCUCGUUAGAUCCUCCUGUGAUACUAACCCCCAAGUUCAGUUUUUAUUUUCGAAAUAAGUUAUGUUUUUUCUUUUGAAGCGAGAAGGAGGCUUUGUUUCCGCUACCUUCAUGCCUGUAAUUGGUUAUGGUGAUAUCUUGUACAUGUAUGCCCCUGUGGCCUUAUUACGUAGGCUGGACGAUGAGGUUUGUUACAAACUCCAAAAAAACUCCCUUACUCAUCACUGUACCGUCUAUAAGAGAGUGGGCUGGCAUUGUUACGUUUUUGUUUAUAAGGCCAUACUGAGACAGCUCCCAUUUUACCUGUGUAUCUGCAUUAUCCAGCAGACAAAUGACAACUAUUGCCUGAGUUCACAUGGUGUUUUGUUGACUGUGACUGAUGCUGUGUUCGUAACCAAGUGGGAAGUUGGAAUUUACCACUUACUACUGGGGAAAAUCCACUUUAAUGGCCCUUUUAAUGGCCCAUUUAUCUUAUUUGAAUUUAUUUUUACAAGAUAUUAGACCUUAAUCAUCUCAUCAGGUAAUGAAGUUACUUUAGGUUAGGGCUUAUCAGGUUAAAAUAAGCAAACUCAUCAUUAGAUAAUUUAGCUUGGUAAGAAAAAGGAAAAUAAAAAAAAUACAAACGCUAAGUGAAUUAUCACCUAAUGUAAGAUAUUUAGGCUUGCUUAGAGUUCACUUUUUGUAGUGGCGAACUCAUCUAUCAUCCUGAGCUCCCACUUUUUCUACAUGCUGACUAAGGAACUGACCUCUAAAACAGCAUUUUUGGCAGUUAAAUGCAACAACAAAACAUUAUUUUUCUUAAAGCAAUCUAUUCAUACGGUUUUGGAACAUAAUAUCAUUUGUUUACAAGCGUGAUAGCUGUAUUUUUAUUUUAUGGUUUACGCCGCUUGUUGGACAUUAGCGAAUCGGCUUUGUUCAACAAGUUCAAAGCACGUGAAUGCAUCCAACUGGUAUUUUUGACUUCAUAACUGGUAAAUCUCCACCUCCCAUUUGGUUACGAACAUAGCAUAAGGCCUGUACAUAGCUAGGGGGAAAAGCAUUCCAGUUCUCUGCCACUUAUGUUUGAAACAAGCUUCAAAAGGUCCUGAAAUUGCAGGUUUAAAUCUAAGGUAAACACUAUGAUGGGAAAUUAAGUGGAGGGUCGUCAAUGUUUUGACCCUUGGUUGCAACACACCAUCUUGCUGCUCAAUGUGUAAAUGUAUGUUUUUUAAACUGUGGUGCUUCGUGUUUAUGUUGUAAAUGUGUGAAGCUUUGUGUGCUGCUAUUUUGUCCAGGUCUCUCUUUUUAAAAUAUAUAUGUUUAUCUCAAUGAGACACCUGCUAAAACAAAGAUUAAAUAAAUAAAUGCAAAGUGAAGGCUCAUGGAAACGGACAUGCAUAGAUGAACCGUACUCCCACACGGCUAGCAAUCACCCGUGAGUUCAUAGGUGAUGAUCAUG
ensembl:lncRNA